GGAAGUGAGGGCGAUCUGGCUGCGACAUUUGUCACCCCACUGAUCGCCAGGGUUGACUCGGCUGAUCUGGCUGGCUAGGCGGGUGUCCCCUUCCUCCCUCACUGCUCCACGUGUGUCCCUUCCGAAGCUGUGCACUUGGUCAAAGAGGAUGACCAUCCCCGAUAGAGGAGGACUGGUCUUCAGUCAAGGGUAUACAGGUAGCUGCGCUCCCCUGCUAGAACCUCCAAACAUGCACUAAAGGUCCAUUUAAAGGAAUAACAAUGGCAUCGAUUCUCCCUUCUAUUUCAUCUGUCCUUUUCCAGCAAGAAGAAAAGAGAC
ensembl:misc_RNA 7SK 7SK RNA